CCAGACAGACAUUAUCAGCCAUAAACCUCAAGGAUAAAUCACGAAGUUCCAGAGAUUGUGCUGCACAAAAAAUUGAUUUGAUGCCAACCUCUCCAGACGCAUGGAUUAUGAAUGAUAAAAUGCCCAGCAAUAGUGAAAAUGGCCAACAAAGUUGUGUCAAAACAUUCAAUUGUGCUGCAACUUCUUAUCACUCUCCAUGUUCCCCACUUGAAGUCCUUCCUUGUCUAUCUACAUCCCAACUGGUUUAUGAUUCACAUAAUUUCACCUCUUCAUCAAAUGUUUCCAGCAACAUGCCGCU
rnacentral:misc_RNA from 1 species